AACGAACGCUGGCGGCAUGCCUAACACAUGCAAGUCGAACGAGAUCUUCGGAUUUAGUGGCGCACGGGUGCGGAACGCGUGGGAAUUUGCCCUUUGCUUCGGUAUAACAGAGAGAAAUAACUGCUAAUACAGGAUGAUGUCUUCGGACCAAAGAGUUAUCGGUAAAGGAUGAGGCCGCGUAGGAUUAGGUAGUUGGGGGGGUAAUGGCCUGCCAAGACGACGAUCCUUAGCUGGUCUGAGAGGAUGACCAGCCACACUUGGGCUGCGACACGGCCCAGACUCCUACGGGAGGCAGCAGUGGGGAAUAUUAGGCAAUGGGGGAAACCCUGAUCCAGCAAUGCCGCGUGAGUGAUGAAGGCCUUAGGGUUGUAAAGCUCUUUUACCAGGGAUGAUAAUGACAGUACCUGGAGAAUAAGCUCCGGCUAACUCCGUG
rnacentral:rRNA from 1 species